UCCAGAAGACCCAGCUCCAAGCUGACCUUCUAUUUAGCUGCGGGGUAGCAGCCUUCUGAUGCAAGUCAUUUCAGCCUGUUGGCUGCUUUCUUCUUCAGUCAUUGUCCCAUGAAUGGCAUAGACCUCCUCGUAGCUCCACACAGCAAUCAUUGAGAUCAGACCAAAUGUGAAAAUGGUACUGAAGCUAACCAAAAAUAAAUAUAAGAUUAAUACCUGGAACACAACUGCAAUAGGGGGUGUCAAGCCAGUCUUCUAUGAGGUCCCUUCCUGUUGAGUUACCAGUCUAUUACAGUUUCCCAAGGAGAGAAGGUUGUCUUGUGCUUCCUUUUCCUUUGUCUAUGUCUUUGUCUGUUUUCAUUUGCUAUACCAAAAUACCUGAGACUGGAUAAUUUAUAAAAGAAAAAGAUUUAUUUCGACUCACAGUUCUGGAAGAUGGCCCUGGCAACUGCUGGGUUUCUGGAGUGGAUCUCAUGGUGGGAAGAGAAGAACAAGCAGACAUGCAUGGAAGAGAAGUCACAGGCUAAAAGAAAAAGCAAAAGAGGUCACCUUCUGUGUAAUAAUUUACUCUUGAGGUAACUAACCCAGUCCUCCAAAAACCCACUCAUUCCCUCCAGAUAGCAUCAAUCUGUUCAUAAGGGCUCUGUCCCCAUGAUCUAGACACUUCCCUACUUCCCACUGCUGCUGCUUUGAGAAAAGAAGCCCCAACAUGAGUUUGGUGGGGACAAACCAUAUUUAAAUUACAGCAGUCCCCUGCCAAAAAGCCGAUCUAUCUCAACCACCCCUCAAGGUAACCAUUUACCAGCAGAUUAUGGUGUUUUGAUGUGAGAGCUCUGCAGCCCGCUGACCUCCUGCGUCAGCUUUCACCCAGCAGCUCCUUGCCUGGACACAGGUUUAACCCAAGGCCCCACUCAAAGGGCUUCAGGAAACAACCAUGUCUUCGUCAAAUGGAAAUUGAUGCUUUCUCAAGAAAGGGCUAACAGUUUUUGAGCCAUUUUUUGUUUCCAGUUUCUACUCAUCAAGAUUUCAAAAUCUUAGAGCUAAGUUUCACCCAGGACACUGUCAAAAUAGGAACCGCUCUGCUUUUGAAAUCAUUUUUUAAAAAGCGACGUCAAGGGAAGCAGGUCUCCAUCAUCUGAGCCUUGGUGAUUACCAUCCUACGCAGGGCCACUGGCCACGCAGACACAAACCCUGCACACGGAAGCACCCUGUCCUUUGUUUCUGUCCUUUCACUCCCUCCGCAGUAGAGCUGUUCUUGCAGAUGCUUUGUGCCCUGCAUAAUUGCCACCGCUGAGAGCGGAUGAUUCACCCACCACCACUUCUUUUUUUCAUGCUUUCCUUGCGUCAGCUGAAGUUAGUCAAUAUAAUGUGCCACUAUAAUGUUUGGAAUACUGUAAAGAAAAGCGUUAUUUUGUUAUUAAUUACUUCUUAAGCUUAGACUUAGAUGGGCUUAAAGAUACAUAUAACUAGAAUGUGUCAGUAUUUUCUACAAUUUCGAGCACUCUGGAGAUGUUUCCUAUGUUUCAUUUCUUUCCCAAUCAGCUUAAUUUCUCAUAGAAUAUAGGAGAGAAGAACUGAUAAAGAUAGGUGUUUCAAUGUCUAAAAGCAUUUUGAAUUAUAAGCUAUUAUGUAGCAUGCAAGGCAUUGUUCACAGGUAGCUCUGUAGGAGAACUGAUUUCCAGCUCCAACUGCCUUGUCUUCCCUCCCAUCUCCUCCCUCCCUCCAGAGUCCUGAUGCCCCCUGUUGAAGUUGGAGCCUCCCUAGGGACAUGCAGAGCCCUGGGAGCUACAGUGGGCUUGAGAGGGGGAAGAAUUCCUGGGUUCCCAGACUUCUGAGUCAAGAAGGAGGAGAAAAGAGUUCCGGAACAGGGAAGAAAGAACUAGGCCACGUGUGGGAGAGAGAAAACAUCAAAAAGUUACAUGAACCUUUGAAUAAACUUGUUUCAAUCACUUAAUUGGAGAAUUAGCUCUGACAUCUUGAGUCAGCAAAAUGAACAUCAUAGCUGCUUCCCUGUCUUCAGCAAACAUUGAGCAAAGCUUGACUAACUGCUUCUUGUGUGCUGGGUGCCAGAGGACGAUGAUGGCUGGAGACCCAUCUCAGCUCCUUGCAGCAGAGAAGAGGGGCAUUGCCCACCUAGUGCUAUGAGGGUGCUGUGAGCUAGGUAAGCAGUGCUUGCUAAGAGAACUGGUAGGACAAGCUGGGGCCAGCUUUAUCUGGGGACAUCAGACAAUGUCUCAUCUUCUAAGCACUAGAAGUACCAAGCAAUGCCCACCUCCUAAAACAGGGCUACUUUUACCAGGAUGCCUGCCACUCUCCAAGACCAGCUCCCAUCUAAUGAGCUCUUUUGGCAAUAACAGAAUUUUGUGAAUUAAGAUUUGAAACAAAACUAAACCCACUCUAAUCUCCAUGGCAACACGAGAUGACAAUAGCCCUAGGUGUGGAAUCAACAUCCUGGGAGAAGCCAGGCAGGAAGAGUGCACAGUGAGCCAGCAUGGGAGCAGCUGCUCCCAAUGGUUCUGCAGUGCAGCUUCCCAACGACGCUGAGCUGCCCACCCACAUCGGGAACACCACACAUGUGCGCAGUGCACACACAUGCGCACAGACAGGAUCUGGAGGGGGCAGGCACUCAAAGCAUUUUGUUCCACAGCAGAUGACUGAGUUCCACGUAAAGAAAGGAAAGGAGGCAUCCUGAGGCCACAGACAUCAUCUCCAGUGUGGAACACCCCUCACGUUGGCGGCGGCGUACACUUCAAAGGAUGUCAAACAUCACACAGCCAGGACACCAGGGGACAGGCAUUAGCACAGUCAUUUGGCUGAUGGCUUCUUUUUCUCUGGUCACAUCCUCAAAAUAAACUUGCCUGUAGCCAGGUAAAACUGUGGAAAAGGAGACAGGGCCUUGUGAGGAAGCCCCUGCCCGUUCUCACCCUCAGAAAGGUAGAUGAUUCCCAUCCUGAGACAUGUCACUGGAGUGGAAAAGUUGGUUUUGAACAGAAUCAUUCUUGACAUCUAUAUUGGGCAGCUGUGUUUCCACAGUGCUACAAUUGAUUCCUGACACGGAAUGGCAUUUUAUGUUUUUGACCCUGCCCCCAAUGAUAUGAUCUUGAAAAGAUUAAGGAGGCCUCCAGUGUUACCCUAGGACCACUUGUUACCUAGGACCAUUUGCAAGUACAUAAUGGGAUUGAAUCUGCAAGACACACUUCAAUCUAGGUGAGUGCACCCAAAAGCAUCUCACUGAAGAUUUCCUCACCUAGCAACAGACACUGUCCACCAAUUGCCCUCUUGCCAUGAAAUGAAGAACUGUAAUGAAAUAACAGGAUUUUAUUAAACACUGAAGUUCAAUGUC